rnacentral:rRNA from 1 species
GUACACGCUGUGACUAGCAUAUCAAUAAGCGGAGGAAAAGAAACUAACAAGGAUUCCCCUAGUAACGGCGAGUGAAGCGGGAAGAGCUCAAAUUUGAAAUCUUAAAGGGUUUCCCUUUACGAAUUGAAGUUUAAAGAAGUGUUUUCUGUUGAGGUUUUGGUAAAAGUUCUUUGGAAUAGGACAUCAUAGAGGGUGAGAAUCCCGUAUUUGACCUUUACUUUCAACUUUGUGAUACACUUUCAAAGAGUCGGAUUGUUUGGGAAUGCAGUCCAAAAUGGGUGGUAAAUUUCAUCUAAAGCUAAAUAUUGGCGAGAGACCGAUAGCGAACAAGUACCGUGAGGGAAAGAUGAAAAGAACUUUGAAAAGAGAGUUAAACAGUACGUGAAAUUGUCAAAAGGGAAGCGUUUGACACCAGUGUUGUUUUUCUGAAAAUCGAUUAAAGAACUGUUUAUGCUAAGCUGUUUAGACUUUAUCAGCUAUCUGUUUAGUUUUGAGCUUUUCUUUAAUGCACUUUUCAGUUAACAAGUCAACAUCAAUUUCUUUUGCUGUAAAAAAGCUUGAGGAAGGUGGCUUGAGAUUCGUCUUAAGUGUUUAUAGCCUCUUGCCUAUGCAGUCGGAGAGAUUGAGGUCUGCAGCGUAGAUCCUUCGGGGCUAAAUGCAUUUGUGCUAAGUUAUAGCAUUUUAUAGACAACUUGUUGACUAUGAUUUGUCUUGUAGCUUACUCGCUUAUGUUAUUUUACCUACGCUUAGGAUGUUGAGUCGUAGAGCACGCAG